rnacentral:lncRNA from 1 species
CACAGUCAGCUGAAAGAGUCUUGUGUCUGCCUGCGGUCAAGCCUCCGCUCUGCUCCCAGUUUGUUCCACUUCCGGAGGAACAUAUGGACCUAAAUAUCCCACGUGUUGACAGAUGUGCUGAGUUAGGCUGAUCAAGAGAGCUGCUGGACCAACCUCCAACUCACAGAGCCAUAUGUACGGCGAAGUACUAUGAAGACAGCACUGAUCUCGGCAAGAGGCGCAACAUGCAGAGAAAUUCACAAUUCAGGGUAAUCAUAUCUACCUACCUACGGGGGAAGGAUGGCCAGCAACACAGGGAGGUGAUUUUUACUAAAGAAGAGAAGGAGGCCGUGCUGACCGAGAUGUAUGCUGGUCAUUUCGGAGUGAAGCGCAUGAUUGCCAAAAUCAACCUACAUUUCUUCUGGGCAACCUGCCAGAAGAUUGAGAGGGCGAAGACUGUGGCACUGGAAUUGAAGCCCAUCAAAGUUGUUUCACCAUGGCAUAUGAUCGGAGCUUGGGGUUCUACCCAACACCCAGACUUGGAUCCACCUGAUGUCCUUCAUUACCAACCACCCUCCAACUUUUCAUUACAUCAUCUACAGAUACUGUUGUUGUCAUGAUGUCAUUAUCUGCUAAGAAGGGUUUCUUGCUCUAUCAUACCGGGCACAUAAUAUGUGAGAUACACAGAUUAACUAAAAACACUAGCACUGCAAACACCCAGAACAAAGAGAGCAGCAUUGCCUGGACUUUGCAGUCUACCUCUUCAAGUCCCCCUUCUGAGACUGGCUGCCUGUUGAGAACAAGUGACAGGCAGAACCUCCCACCCACACAGCAAUCACCUCCUCUAUAUUACAAACACCAGAAUUCAG